GUUGCUUAUUCUUUAGUUUUUUAUGUUGUGUCAUGUGUACUAUUGUUCGUCUGUUUGUCUUUUUCAUUUUUAGCCAUGGCGUUGUCAGUUUAUUUUCGAUUUAUGAGUGUGAUUGUCCCUUUGGUAUCUUUCGUCCCUCUUUUACUCGUAUUUUUUUCUUUUUUUUUAAUAGAUUAUCAUUUUCCUGUUUGAAUUAUUUUACACUAGUAAUUUGGCGGCCCUUUAUAUCAUGCUGUUCGAUUUGAUCAAAUGUCCAAUGUUCAAAAGCCGUACUUUAACCGAGAAUUGUUUACUCGUUACACAUUGUGACUUGGAGAGUUAUCUCACUGGCAUUCAUACCUCAGCUUCUUAUUUCUAUGUCAAUUUUCCCACUCUCAUUUAAAAGAGUGAGUGAUAACAACGGAUGCAACCACCGGAGCAUGAACUGCUUCCACUUCAGUUCUGUUGUUAAAAUUGCCAGUGGUUUAAGUGGAUUCCAUGCGGUCCAAAAGCAAUCUUCAUUUUUUUCAAAUUUUAUUGUUGACCUAUAAAUAUUUGCGAAGGUGUGUUCAGGCCUUUGUCUGACCAAAAGGGAAGCUUGAAUCCCAAAUAUUAAUUAAAACAUUAAUACUACUUUGUUUAAGUAUCUCAUUUCAUUUUUUUUU
rnacentral:lncRNA from 1 species